UGUGACCAAUGCCAUAUUAGAGCAGUAGCUGUCAUGAGUGACUUGUUUGUCAUACAAAGCUAUAUAGCUAGCUAGCCUGGAAACUCGACGUUUGUCUCACAUUCCUACCGCCAAAAGGAUGAACCGCACGGACAACCGUUAGUACAGCCAGCUGACCAGCCGUAACGUUACGUUACCCCCUUGCCUUGUGUUCUUCGGAUCAUCAUUCUCCUUUUGCCAAUUACAGCCUGCCAACCAGCCAGUCAACGAACCAGCUGUAGCCCUUGGUAACUUACUCUUCGUAAGAGUCUUCCUCCUCCUCCAGCCAGCUAACGAUAUAAUGGAUAGAGCGAGAAAACGCUGCUACAACAGGAAAUGGAUUGCCUCAAGGAGAAAGCUACUAAAGGACUGUAGCUUAAAUAGGCCAGGCCAAGAAAGGCAUAUCGAUCCUGCGGAGUCAGAGAUUGCUAUGGAAUACGCAACAGUAGCACAAGUGUUU